CUACGGGUGGCAGCAGUGGGGAAUAUUGGACAAUGGGGGAAACCCUGACCCAGCAAUGCCGCGUGUGUGAAGAAGGCCUGCGGGUUGUAAAGCACUUUCGGUUGGGAGGACUGCUUCUAGCACUAAUAUUGUUGGAAGUUGACGUUACCUUCAGAAGAAGCACCGGCUAACUCCGUGCCAGCAGCCGCGGUAAUACGGAGGGUGCAAGCGUUAAUCGGAAUUACUGGGCGUAAAGCGCGCGUAGGCGGCUAGAUCAGUCGGGUGUGAAAGCCCCGGGCUUAACCUGGGAACUGCAUCCGAUACUGUCUAGCUUGAGUACAGGAGAGGAGAGUGGAAUUCCACAUGUAGCGGUGAAAUGCGUAGAUAUGUGGAGGAACACCAAUGGCGAAGGCAGCUCUCUGGCCUGAUACUGACGCUGAGGUGCGAAAGCGUGGGGGGCAAACAGGAUUAGAUACCCGGGUAGUC
rnacentral:rRNA from 1 species